rnacentral:rRNA from 1 species
GGGGAAUAUUGCACAAUGGGGGAAACCCUGAUGCAGCGACGCCGCGUGAGUGAAGAAGUAUUUCGGUAUGUAAAGCUCUAUCAGCAGGGAAGAAAAUGACGGUACCUGACUAAGAAGCCCCGGCUAACUACGUGCCAGCAGCCGCGGUAAUACGUAGGGGGCAAGCGUUAUCCGGAUUUACUGGGUGUAAAGGGAGCGUAGGUGGUUCGGUAAGUCAGAUGUGAAAGCCCGGGGCUCAACCCCGGGAUUGCAUUUGAAACUAUCGAACUAGAGUGCAGGAGAGGUAAGUGGAAUUCCUAGUGUAGCGGUGAAAUGCGUAGAUAUUAGGAGGAACACCAGUGGCGAAGGCGGCUUACUGGACUGUAACUGACACUGAGGCUCGAAUGCGUGGGGAGCAAAC